GUGCCAGCAGCCGCGGUAAUACGUAGGGUGCAAGCGUUAAUCGGAAUUACUGGGCGUAAAGCGUGCGCAGGUGGUUUUACAAGACCGACGUGAAAUCCCCGGGCUCAACCUGGGAAUGGCGUUGGUGACUGUAAGACUAGAGUGUGGCAGAGGGGGGUGGAAUUCCACGUGUAGCAGUGAAAUGCGUAGAGAUGUGGAGGAACACCGAUGGCGAAGGCAGCCCCCUGGGCUAACACUGACACUCAUGCACGAAAGCGUGGGGAGCAAACAGGAUUAGAAACCCCUGUAGUCC
rnacentral:rRNA from 1 species